rnacentral:tRNA from 1 species
GCCGGUGUAGCUCAGUGGUAGAGCAGGGGACUCAUAAGCCCUUGGUCGGUGGUUCAAAUCCGCCCACCGGCA